rnacentral:rRNA from 1 species
GAGUUUGAUCAUGGCUCAGAUUGAACGCUGGCGGCAGGCCUAACACAUGCAAGUCGAGCGAGAAAGCACUUCGGUGUGAGUAGAGCGGCGGACGGGUGAGUAACGCGUAGGAAUCUACCUAGUAGUGGGGGAUAACAUGUGGAAACGCAUGCUAAUACCGCAUACGCCCUACGGGGGAAAGAGGGGGACAUUUGCCUCUUGCUAUUAGAUGAGCCUGCGUAAGAUUAGCUAGUUGGUGGGGUAAGGGCCUACCAAGGCGACGAUCUUUAGCUGGUCUGAGAGGAUGAUCAGCCACACUGGGACUGAGACACGGCCCAGACUCCUACGGGA